UUAACUAUUAUAUAGUACUCAGACGACAUUGAUAAUAAGAGUUUUGGGUCCUCUGGCAGGCACGGACUAGCCGAAGCCAGCGGUCCGAAGACGGGCCUGCCAAAGCAACAAAGGUAAUGUAAACAAAGGGUGGGAGAUUAGCCCGAAGGCAGUUCUCUUUAGUGAUCCUUCCGCAGGUUCACCUACGGAAA
rnacentral:misc_RNA from 1 species